rfam:Burkholderia sp. TJI49 contig978.3, whole genome shotgun sequence.
CUUCAGGAUCGCUAGGGUUCCGGUCGUGCGGCGUUCGCGCCGCACGAUGGCUGGUCCGAGAGCAAUCCGGUCUUGCCUUCGCCUCGCUUCGAGGAAACGGCGAGGCUCCACGGAGGGAUAAAAGCCCGGGAGGU